AUAGCGUAUAUUAAAGUUGUUGCAGUUAAAAAGCUCGUAGUUGAACUUCAGCCUCUUGGCCGGGCGGUCUGCCUCACGGUAUGUACUGUCUGGCUGGGGCUUACCUUCUGGUGAGCUUGCAUGCCGUUUAUUCGGUGUGUGAGGGAACCAGGACUUUUACCUUGAGAAAAUUUGAGUGUUCAAAGCAGGCAAAUGCCCGAAUACAUUAGCAUGGCAUAAUGGAAUAGGACGUGCGGUUCUAUUUUGUUGGUUUCUAGAGUCGCCGUAAUGAUUAAUAGGGAUAGUUGGGGGCAUUAGUAUUUAAUUGUCAGAGGUGAAAUUCUUGGAUUUAUGAAAGACUAACUUCUG
rnacentral:rRNA from 1 species